ensembl:lncRNA
CCCUUUUUCCCUUCCCUUCCACUCUAGAAAAAUAUUUCUCGAAUACUUAUCAAGCCAAAGAAACUUUUCUUUAUGACAGUUUCUUCCAGCUCCGUUCUGCGGUUUACCUCAGCAUCUGCUUUCUUUUUCCACUCUCCCAACUUACGCCUGGUUUUGAUUAAAACCAAGCCUAGAUGCAUGGCAAGAAAAAGCAGCCUUCCAACACCAGGAGAGCAGGAAGACGAUUUGUCAGCGAUCGCCCGGUCCGGAAAGCAAUAUUUUCUGGUAGCAGCGUUUGCUCCCAGUAGGACUGGGCUAACAUACAGCUUUUACAUUAUUAUUGUAUGCCACAACCAUCUCAUCAAAAAGCUAAGAGACGUUCUUUGAACCCAACUGAAAUCAUCUGUUUAUCCUUUCUGACUGCUUUGCAGGCAAAUUCCUCACCACAGAAUGGGGGGCGAAGGGCACUGCUUCUCUUUGUGAUUCCGCCACGUUUUCAUUUUCAAUGAAGUUUUAUAAAUGUUUGAUUUUUCUCCAAAAUUCCCCUGUUUUGUGGCAGCGGGCCUCCAACCUGCCAGCACAAGAGGUGGUGUAAGUCAGCAGUGUAGAUAAGCGGGCCCGCUUUUAGAUUGUCUCGUUGGGUGUCUCCCUCACAGAUACAGACUGGUGGCUGGAUGUAUGUUUUUUACUAUUAUUAUGUUUAUUUUCUAUCAUUAUUAUUAUGUUUACUCUCCCCUCUCUCCAUCCAGAAGCUCUCACCAUCACUUUCUCUUCCCAGCUUUGUUUUCGCUCAUCCUCCAACUCCUGUCCCCCCCUCAGGGUAUAACCAAAUCCCCGCUGAAAGCCACAAGAAUGCGGUAUUUCAUUGAAACCCUCCCAGGAUUUCCCAAACCAUCAGUUUCCAGUUCAUGCAGGAGAGGGCAGCAGAGCUCAGGGAAUGGGGACAGUCACUCAGAGCGAUAAAAUGCGUUCCAAGGGUUGUGCUGCAUUUUCCCACUAAUUCUGCCCUCGAAGUGGGGCAGCCCUAAGGAACCAGCCAGGCAGGAGAAGCAGAUUUCGGUGUGAUUUAUGACUGGCUGCAGGCUGCUUGGGGAAGCAGUGCAGCUGAUUCUGACUGAGACUUUUGUUUAGGACUGCAACUCAGCCAGGUGAGGACACCAAAUGGGCAGCCCAGCACUCCCACCUUCCUGUGAGCACCUCACCACCGCGUUCUGAAACAGGUGUGUGGUGCCUGGUCACCCCAUGGAGCUCUCGCCUCCUUCUGGGCUAUCACUGCACCUGCUCUACUCUAGACAACUUCAUUCAGAAUCUGCUGUUGCCUUUUCCAUGACGGACUCAUGGCUACUGCAUCAGCACAGAGGUGGUCCAACUCCCCUGCAAUGAACAGAGACAAGCACAGCUAGAUCAGGUUACCCAGGACCUGAUCCAGCCUCACUAUGGAAGUCUCCAGGGACAGGGCAUCAACCACAUCUCUGGGCGACCUGUUCCAGUGCCUCACCACCCUCACUGUAAAGGAAGUUACAAGAAGCUACUGCACUAAUAGAAAACUCACAGCAACUCUUUUGGGCUGACAGUCUUGGCUAUGGAGCACCACUUGGCUCUACUCAAGGAGGGCCAUCACCAAAUUCAGUCUUUGGCUGUAGGCGGGGACAGUGGCAGCCAAGUUCAUUCAGCUUCUGUUAUCACCUUUGAACACAUCCAGUCUGAUGAAAUGGACGUACUUUCUACUGUCUCUUCUGUCCAGACUCUGCCAAAGAGGAAUAAAUAAUAUCAAUUCUGCCUGCCUUAUGCAUAUAUCUAUCUGCUCCAUCCUUUCUCUGAGGAUUUAACAAACUCAGGCCUACACUUCUCUGCAGGCAGUCCCCCCUUCAUUUGUUGAUACUCUGAGCACUGUGUGAACCUGCUCCUUCCAGGCUCAAGGCUGAAGAAAGGCCAGAUGAAAACAGGUGAGUAACUGCCUAAAGGAAGAAAAAGUAUAGAUAAAUUCUCUUCCUUGGGAUUGCAUUUAAAGCUGAGUAGGGAGUCCUGGGUUGAAAGGUUAGAAAGAGAAGUUAUUUUUGUUUCUGGUGGAGUUCUUGUUGGAGGAAAGCGUUGAAACGAGAGAGCUUUGGGGUUAAGAAAGUUUCUAUGAUCAAGUAUGUGGUAGCUGAGAAUUUGCUUUAAAUAGUUCCAGUAUAAUCAGUGAGCAGGGAAAUUAAUUUCCUUUCACAAUGAUGUGGUGGAAAGGCAAAACGUUGGGUUACAUCUCAGACAAAAGGAAAGGUAAACGCUUUGCAUUAAAUUCCUUCUGCAUUUCCUAGUUUUACAGACAGCUUUGAAAUUUACAGUGUAGAUGCAGUGGUUGGAAGUACACACUCACCUUGCCUGACCUCCCACACAACACCAGCCUUUGAAUCUGACCCUAUAAUUUCUGCACCAAGCACCUCUCUCUGUUUGAGCUACAACAUGCCUCUUAGAUAUCCAUCUAGUCUUGACUGGGAGACUGCAAAUAAAGGAAAUCCAUCACAUCCGCAGGUAGCUGUGUUUAAAUCACUAUGAUAAGCCUGUAUAUCUAAGGCUCUUCCCAAGGACAAGACAGCAACAAGAAUUUGCAGUAGAGGCCAGCACUCGUGGGAGGGUGAACAUGUGCAGGUCCAGACAUUCUGUUCACAAAGCUCUGAAACAGGGAAAGCACAAAGCAUUGCUCGAGGUGCCACACAACAUAAAUGUAACGUUAUGGAGAGGACUUGCUCAGAAAUGUGUUCUUCACAAAGUUACAGGACUUUGAUGGAGUAAGUUGGUCUUCAUGGCUGACAGGUGGGAGACUAGACAAAACUGAUUGCAAGCCAAUUAAAAACAAUUUGGGAAAGUGGGGUGUGUGUGUAAUGCUACCUGUGAAAACAUAUCCCUUUACAAAUCAUCUUCUUCCUGUCCAAACUAAUACAUAAAAUGUUGUGACAAUAUUUCACUUGUGUUUUUGUCACGGGGGAUAUUCAAGGGUUCAGCAUGUUUCAAUCUUUCUGCCCUGUGUGUUCUGUGCUCUCUGCGUGGUUCCUCUGUCCCAGAUUGUACCGCAGACCCCCAAGUCAUCACUUAAUGCAUCCUGAGCUGCAGACAGCUGUCACAUCCCUUCUCCUCCUUCAGCAUCCUUGACACCUGCUCCCUGGAAGGGAAGACACAAGGUGGUUGCCACCAUUACAUUCACUGUCCCCUCUACACUGCUUGUUAAAAAACAUAGCCAGUUUCUCAGACCUAAGCAUGAACUUUGAGGGGGACCAAUUUCAAUGGCAGUAAGGCAUUGUGCUUCUUAUAUUACUGAAGCAGCAUAGCUCUUAUCAACAUCUGAACAAAUUGGCUGACUUGAACCACGCAAUGGCUGUGUAUUCUUUCUAUAUAGACCUUUUGAUAUGUUCUAACAUGUUGAGGAAUUUUAUUGUCUUUCUGUGUUUUCUUUUCUCUCAUCUUUAAACCUGUACUGAAAGCCCCCAAAUCCUUACAUUUUUUGCUUAAUUCCUCUUCUGUCUCCUACUCUUCUAAAUACAGACCUAAGCACACAUCAAUCAAAGCAUAAAUCCCAGAGACAAACACAUUGCCCUUGCAGCUACUGGGUGCAGCUGGGUGGCAGAACCUCCCAUGGCAGAACCAAGGCACUGCCCAGACCUCAGCUGGUGCCCAUCACCCCAAUUGCUCCAUCUUCAUUGCAUUUCACUGGGAAGGCUUUCUGCAACAUAUGUGCUCAUUCUGUGGAAUAAGCCCUGGCUGACUCACUCAGAAAUAACAGUAGGAUUUCCUCUGAGGGGGAACGUGUGUAAAAGUGCCCUUUCAGUGACUCUACCACCUUUGGAUACCUGCUUUCACUUCAUAUUCCAACAGUGUUAACUUGUAUAUUUCCCAUACUAUUUUUCCUUGUCUUAUGUUUGUUGUUCCAUCAGUGAGCCCUGUGAAGUUUAAACUGUCUGGCUUUACAGUCAAUUCAGUUCCAUCUUCUCUUGUUAGAUUUAUUUUUUACCUGAGUUAACUUCCCCCACUGCUAGUUCUUUAGUUCCUUUGUCUUGUGCUGUUUUUCCAAUUACAGCCAUCCAGGAGAGAUUUUGCGGUGUUUAAGAUGGCUGAGGUAACCCCUAGGUUAUAUUGUUCCAAGUGUUUCAGUGUUCAUCCAGACCACUCGAGCACUAUGUUUGCUUUCAUACUACAGAAAGAGCUGUUCCAUGCUUUUAGUGCAUCUCGGGACAGAAUGGCCACUAUUGUUCCUAAAUGGCUGCACAGGCAUCUGAAAGCUAUUCUGGUUAAUUUAACUACAAAGGCACAAUGAAUCCAAAAAAAUGUAGGAACCUUACUUAGAUUCAGGAAAAUCUCUUUCAAGGCUAAUGAGAUUCCCCGUGCCUCUCAGAAAACUACCCAAACAAGUGCUCCGGUGUGGGUUUUCUUCCCCUCAUAGAAGCCUCUUAAAAGGAGAGUGAGUGGGUCACCACCAGGUCAAGAGCCUGUGGUUAUGAACAUUACCUUUCAUUCACUGGAAUCAGUCAUCACACAGCCCUGCAUGAUGUUGGGUACAGCCUUGUGUCACCAGUCCUUCAAUAUGAGGUAAGGUGUUUAUGGGUGGCAGCACUGAGUGUGUGGCCCGUAGUUGUAUGCAGUGCAAUAAUUCACCUCUUCAAUCCAAAACUUGGUUAAAAAUGAUAUAGAACAACUUUGUAGAGGAAGUACAACAUAUGUUUUUCAUCCAGCAUUUCAAGUUAUGGGCGGUUUAUCUAGCAGUUGUUUAAAUGCAGUUGACCUGUACAUUGUGAAUAAAAUGACAUUUUAAAAAGCUACUAAAUGCUUCGUAUUAAGAAAGUACAAGUACCUAUCAUCAUUAAAAUACUUAGACCUGAGAUGUAAAGAAAAAAAAAAAAGAGAGAGAAAAAGGUGAAGUCUUCAAAACAUGUUUAAGCCAUGCAGAAAAGAUGAUGCCAUGAGGAAAAGAUUAAUGCUAUUCAUCAAUCUAACAAUACAUCAAUUCCAAUUAUUUUAGUCUUUGUUAAGAAAUAAUAUCUGAGGAUACACAAAACACUAAAGUUUACCCUUCUGGCACAUAGUGUGAUUAAUGCAUUUAGUUAGUAGCCUAGUUUCACGAAUAUGGACACAGAGGUUAGAAGCACCUUAUAGCCUGGUACAUGCCUAUACCACCUUAAUUUAGCCCACGCAGCUCUUGUUAAACUUCUAUUAUUUGCAAUACCAUUCUGAAAAUUAUAAAAGAGUUUGAGAAUUUAGGAGUCCUAUAUGUAACAUCCCAGUACAUUAAAAGCCCUCAUUCUUGGGUCUAGCUGCUGCUUGGAAUUAACAGACCCAGAAGUGAAUUAAAUACAAUUUUUUGUGCAGAAUAACAAGUAUGUGCUCUACAGAGCUGUACGCUUCAAGGAGUCUAUUGUACCUAAAAUAAAAUUCCUAUCUCAGCCAGUUAUGAGGAAAAAAACCUUUAGAUUACUCUCCUAGGGAAACUUUGGAGUAGUGUUCUUCCAGGUCAUGAGCACGCUGGUAGAUGUCAAUAGUUACCAGAGC